rnacentral:rRNA from 1 species
AGAAUCAACGCUGGCGGCGUGCCUAACACAUGCAAGUCGAACGAGAAAGGGUAGCAAUACCUGAGUACAGUGGCGCACGGGUGAGUAACACGUGACUAACCUACCCUGGAGUGGGGAAUAACUGAGGGAACCUUAGCUAAUACCGCAUAAUACCUACGGGUCAAAGGAGCAAUUCGCUUCAGGAGGGGUCGCGGCCGAUUAGUUAGUUGGCGGGGUAAUGGCCCACCAAGACGAUGAUCUGUA